UUGCGUUAGGGAUUGUAACGAAAAUCCUUUUUCUUUUUUCAGAAAAAGAUUGUAGUGAAAAGCCCGACCCGAU
rnacentral:sRNA from 12 species